UUAACUACGCUAGCAACAUUUCGUGUAAUAAUUGGGCAGAUAAACAAAAAUAAUUGGCAACAUUCGAAAAUGGCUGCCGUUAAAGGAACUGAUUUCUAAUUUAUUCAAAAUUUGUUUAUUGUUCAUAAAAUAAAAUCAGAGAUAAUUAUUUACAAUGAGCAGUCGUUGCAUUUUUGGAGGGUUCGCCACAGGAAAGAUCAACCUUAGAUACCGUCACCAAAUAUCCAGUUAUAUCCAGUUCUAUACGAAGAGUGGUUGGAAGUCGUCCCAAGCAGAUUUAAAAAAGAAAAUUGCUAUCGCAAGUAUAGAGUUUGCGAUAGACAUUUUGAACCAGAAGGAAAGUACGGGAAGGGUCGCCUUCAAAGAUAGCGAUUCCUAAACUACAUUUACCUAGUGAGCCUACCACAGUUGAUACACAUUUUCCCUUGCACUCUACACUAAACACUGAUUUAUCAACCUUAAGAAAUCAAGUGGUUGAUGAUGCGGGAUGUGUAUUACAAAAUCCUAUAGAAGUUGAGGUUGCUUCAAGAAAUCAAGUGGUUGAUGAUGCGGGAUGUGUAUUACAAAAUCCUAUAGAAGUUAAGGUUGCUUCAAGUACAAGUUGUACUUGGGGUGGACUAAUACAUGAAGAAUCUAUACCCUAUGUAGGAGUUUAUUGUGCUUCUGUGACAUGCAUCAAGAAAACGAAACCAACAGUUUUGAUAUGGGAGGAGAUGAAUAUUGAUUUGGAGAAAGGAUGACAACGCCGAAGCGGACCUACGCAUCAAAUACGCUACUGAAUAGAAUAUAUUAUUCUUACAGAAAAUAAAACCUAAGGAAACGUGACUGUCAAAAUAAUCGGCCAAGUGCGAGUUGGACUCGCGCAC